ACGUGGAUAAUAAAAAGGAAAUUAGUGAAAGAAUUGAGGAGAAAAAGGGAGAGAGUGUGUGAAACAUUUCCAAUAUCAUAUUCUCCACCUCUCUUCUGCUGCCUAGGCUCCAAUCCAAUUCCUCUCAGUACCUUUCGAACGGAUGGCCAAGACGCGACAGUUGCAGAGGUGGAUGCUGGAGUCAUUCACCAUCAAGGGACUGGACGGGGUCACCAAGCAUGAGGAGUAUUUCUGAUCCUUUUAUUUAUUUAGUUCUUUCUUGUUUGGGGAGAAUUUUGAGUGUAAUUUGAGCAUCUAGGUUUCUCGAGUCGACUCUAGAUCUUAAACCUAAUUUCUUUGACAAAUGACAAUGUUCUUUUUUAUUCAUUGAUACUAGCAGAUAGCGGCGUCACAGUGGAUUGACAUCAAUAUAGCAGAUUUUGCAAGUGUGAGAUGCCAUCCAAUCCUGAUGACCUUAUGAUGUGAGGAUUGCUCUGACUGGUUCACUCUUGUGUUGGAAUGACCAUCAAAGAAGCGAACAAAUUGGAGCAUUUUUUUCUAUAAAAGUUGUGUUGCUAAAAAUGGAAAGAAGG